AGCCCGCGGAAACAGAAGGCUUUUACUCCGUGGAGACACGUUAGAGCGUGUUUAUAAAUACACACUUUACUAUUUUACUAGAGCACUGGUCGACACCAGGUUUUGUUAUGCCAGUGAAGGACAUCUGCUAAAAAUAAAGUCCGUGAAGAUUGUUUGGCCUUCUACAAUUCUGAGAAAGAGUUUCCACUAACAGAGUCCAGCCCUGUUCCUUCCAGAAACUGACUCUGGUUGUCUCAUGUGGACCACAAGGAUAUAACCACAUGGACAGGACCACAGGCAAAUCAGCCGUGUUUACGGGAGCUUCUGUGAGCCGAGAUCCACUUCACAGUCCCCAGGUGAUACCUCCCCCGAGAGCUUGGUUUCUGUCCUGUCAGUGGCUCUUGUUACCACAGAGAAGCUCCCAUGGAGGACAGAAGACAGUUGGAUCCUCUGUAACUGGAGUUAAAGAUGGAGCCCAGAUCUUCAAUCUUGGUGGCAAGAGCCUUCUCCUACUGAGCUGUCUCAUCAGUCCUCAAAUAUCUUUUAGUAUUUCUUUCAUUUGCACUUGAUUUUAUUUUUUGACACAUGAGAUGAUUUAAUAUUGAUUGCCAACUCAAUGAGAUUUAGGAUCAACUAAUUAACCAAGCCUCUGAGUGUGACCAUGAGGGGCUUUCUAGAGCAGUUUUACAGAGGGGAGGACUCACUCAGAUAUGGGCGGCACUAGAACAAGCCCCACCUUCUUGUAUUAGUUAUCUGUCUCAGGAUUCUGAGAAAGUGCCUGACAGAAGGACUUAAAAGGGGGUUGUUUUCUCACAUUUCUACAGUUCAGGUCAUCAUAGUGAGGAAAUUGGGGUCGCAGGAGCUUGAGGUGGCUGGUCACACGGCGUCACCCACUGUCAGGAAGCCGAUGAACCCCGGAGCUCAGCUCACUUUCUCCUGCUCAGUCGAGCCCCUUCACCCACUGAGCCCGCUGGCCAGCCCAGACUCUGGUUUUUCAAAUAAAAACCUUGUUGAGAUAGAAAACACACACAACAUAAAAACACUCUCAAAUUGUAUAAUUCCAUCAUUUUUAGCAUAUUCACAGAAUUAUGCGGCCAUUGCCACCAUCUCAGAACACCGUGGAGAGACAGCUGAGAGGUUAAUGGCUCCUACUUCUCUGUCAGAGUCCUGGGGUUCAGAUCACAGCAAACGGCUCACAACGCCUGUAACUCCAGCUUCAAGAGACCCAGCACCCCUUUCCAGCCUCUAUGAACACCCAUGCGCAAAAGGAAAACUUAAAGAAGAAACCACACACUUUAUAAGUCACCCUUCAUUUUGCUUCCCAGCGCUAACUUUUAAACUGGUGCUGGGCCCAUUUUGGUUGGCGUGAGUGACAGCUGGCCGUUACUCCAUGACAGUCCAGAGUCUGACCAUACAGAACAGAAUCGUAAUCUUUCAGGUGCAGUGAAAAGUGGCUUGGGAACUGGUCAAGGGCAAACUCAGCAGGGAAUGUAAGAGGGACACAGUGAGUUUCUACCUCACCCAGUCCUGCAGGCAGCAGGAGGCAGCGCGUAGCUUCUUCUCAUCCAGUGUAACACCUUUUUCUCAGGAUCCAACAUGCCAGCUGGAGCUCUGGCCAUCAAAUCCUCUUUCCAGAUAGCAAGAACGAGGACAGCGUGAAAGCUGCAUGCCAUUGGUUUCUAGGAAAGCGUCUCAGUGGCUUUCAAAAACACAUCUACUAACAUCCCAUUGACGGGAACUCGCUCAUAUUGCCCAGACUGCAAAGAAGGCUGGGGAAUUCAGCCUUUUUAAAAUCAGCCACGGUGGCUCACAUGAGCACACUGAGGGAGACUAGGCGUUGGAACAUGUAUCCAUUAGCAAAUACUCAAAUAGUACUGCAUAGCAAAAGACCUGUAACGUUGGUAUACAACAACGAGCCCACCCCCACUUGCUCUCAGGUAUUGUUAGUUGGGAAACUUUGAAUCCAGCAACAGGUUUGAUAGGGUUACAUUCAGCUUGAGGGUGGGUCCUGUCCGUCCAGCUCCAUAUUUCCCCAGGACCAGCACUACUAGGGUGUGUUCCCUUCAUGGCAGAUGGAAGGUACACAAGAAGUAAGUCAAAGACACGUGAUGCUUCCAGAAGCCUCUUGAGUGACUCCUUCCCAUACUCCGUUGCCAGGUUCAUAUCAAGGACAGGACAGGUUCAUAUCAAGGACAGAAGGGACACUCUAUUCAUCUUGAUACAUAACAUUGCAAAAUCACACAGCAAAGUGUCCAUGUAUAAAAAAUCCACAGGGAGCACUUGAGCAUGAUGAGCAAUGAUGCAUUGCAAUACAGAAGAUAGAGCUCGCCAGGGGUCCUGGUCAGCUUUGACUGUCAAUCAGUCACAACCCAGAGUCAUCUGAUAGGGAAGUUUCAACUGAGGAACUGUCCAGAUCACAUAUGUCUGGGGGAGGUGAUGAGGGAUUGACCUCUGUAUUCUAUGAAUAUGUGUAAUUACCAUUGGUUAGUAAAGAAGCUGCUUCAGGCUAUAGCCGGGCAG